rnacentral:rRNA from 1 species
CCUACGGGUGGCAGCAGUGGGGAAUAUUGGGCAAUGGGCGCAAGCCUGACCCAGCAACGCCGCGUGAAGGAAGAGGCCCUCGGGUUGUAAACUUCUUUUAACAGGGACGAAGAAAGUGACGGUACCUGUUGAAUAAGCCACGGCUAACUACGUACCAGCAGCCGCGGUAAUACGUAGGUGGCAAGCGUUAUCCGGAUUUACUGGGUGUAAUGGGCGUGUAGGCGGGUGUGAAAGUCAGACGUAAAAUGCAAGGCCUAAACCGUGGAACUGCGUUUGAAACUGUUCUUCUGGUGGGAUGGAGGGGCAGGCGGAAUUCCGUGUGUAGCGGUGAAAUGCGUAGAUAUACGGAGGAACACCAGUGGCGAAGGCGGCCUGCUGGACAUUAACUGACGCUGAGGCGCGAAAGCGUGGGGAGCAAACAGGAUUAGAUACCCUGUAGUC